CAGAGAAUCUCACUCCCAGUGAUGAAUCACAAGCUAAUGACGUUAAGGAUUUAGAUGGAGGACUCACUGCUGUGAUUGUUCUUACUUUGUUGGCGUUGCAGUAGCUGGCAUCUACGUGUACUAAUUUCUUCUCAUCAGGAAGAGAGGGUAAAUUAAACAUGUUUCUUGAAUGUUUUGGUGCUCCUCAUACAUAACAUACAUUUUUGAAGCUUUCGUUUGUACUCUGUAUUGCAUGAUGCCUCUUUUAAAAAUGUGCCUGUCUGAGUGUGACAUCAGAAUUGCAUGCAUUUCUUUGCUAAAAAUA